CAAGAGAGUCUUUUACAACAUGAGCUCGACAAUAGGGAGAGGAAAGUACCUGAUGAUAAGAGUCGAAAUUUCUGUGGCAGAGUCCUGCCAGUGGAGUAUUGCUUACAUCGUUCCGACUAUGAAAGUCGGCCAAUGCCGUUCUGCAGGACUCCGGGCAAGCAUACCCCUGGGGAAACACCACAGAUACCCCCAUGCUCCCGUGGGAGUCGCGUCGGAUUGCCUCCCCCGUGUUCAUCGCCUCCUGCACGUCGUGUGGAUUGCUGACUUUGCUUGAUGGAGCAAUUUUACUUCUCCCCUCCGGCGAUUCCCAAUCGCUCUGAACUGCCGUGACGGCAGCAUCCUCCCACCACGUGUCCCGGUAGUUCUCCUCAUCUGCCCAACCGUCGCACAGUGGUCUAAAUGGCGAAUUUGGCGCGAAUUAAUUAUUCAUGUUGGAAAAA
rnacentral:lncRNA from 1 species